AGCGUAACAGCUUACCGGCCGAGGUUCGAGGCGUCGAAAAUGAUCGGGACUCAAAUCCACCUCCGAGACCUGGCGGCGUGUCUUAUGACACGAUUCCGUAGGUUGGCAUACUGCAUGGGUGGAAGCACGGGUGAGAACUCGUGUGGACCGUGCAGCAACGAAAAUCAUGGUCUCAGUAGCAGCGAGAGUCGGGUGUGAACCCCGACGGCCUUACGCGCAAGGGUUCCUCGGCACUGUCAAUCAGCCGAGGGUUAGUCGAUCCUAAGUCUAACCGUAAUUCGAAUUAGAUGAAAGGGAAACUGGUUAAUAUUCCAGUACCUUCUUGCACUAAACGUCGACGCUUUAGGAAACACCGAGCGGGGCCUUCGCCCCGUCGAAUCACCGAAAUUCGUGGAAGCCGUAACGGCACGAAGCGAACGAAUGGUGAGAUAGGGAAACUCGGCGGUACCUAGAGCCCGUGAAAAGACAAGCAAGAAGCUCGUACCGAGAUCCGACACAGGUGCGCUGGCAGAGCAAGCCAAGGCCUGUCGGGAUCAACCGACGUUAGGGAAUUCGGCAAGUUAGUCCCGUAAGUUCGCGAUAAGGGAUGCCUGCUCUUGACCGAGCAGGUCGCAGUGACUCGGACGCUCCGACUGUCUAGUAACAACAUAGGUGACCGCAAAUCCGCAAGGACUCGUACGGUCACUGAAUCCUGCCCAGUGCGGGUAUCUGAACACCCAUUACAAUGGGACGAAGGACCCGUCAACGGCGGGGGUAACUAUGACCCUCUUAAGGUAGCGUAGUACCUUGCCGCUUCAGUAGCGGCUUGCAUGAAUGGAUCAACGAGAGCGUCACUGUCCCAACGUUGGGCCCGGUGAACAGUACGUUCCAGUGCGGAGUCUGGAGACCCCCAAGGGGAAGCGAAGACCCUAUAGAGCUUUACUGCAGGCUGUCGCUGAGACGUGGUCGCUAAUGUGCAGCAUAGGUAGGAGCCGUUACACAGGUACCCGCGCCAGCGGGCCACCGAGGCAACAUUGAAAUACUACCCGUUAGUGACUGCGACUCUCACUCCUGGCGGAGGACACCGGUAGCCGGGCAGUUUGACUGGGGCGGUACGCGCUCGAAAAGAUAUCGAGCGCGCCCAAAGAUUUCCUCACGCGAGUCGGGAACUCGUGGAAGAGCGCAAGAGCAAACGGAAGUCUGACAGUGACAUUCCCAACGAGUGUCGCUGACGCGAAAGCGUGGUCUAGCGAACCUACGAGGUUCAUUCAUGGGACCCGUAGAUGACAGAAAAGCUACCUUAGGGAUAACAGAGUCGUCACCGGCAAGAGCACAUAUCGACCCGGUGGCUUGCUACCUCGAUGUCGGUUCCCUCCAUCCUGCCUGUGCAGAAGCAGGCAAGGGUGAGGUUGUUCGCCUAUUAAAGGAGGUCGUGAGCUGGGUUUAGACCGUCGUGAGACAGGUCGGCUGCUAUCUAUUGGGGGUGUUAAGGAACUUGACGUGAACGUUCGUAUAGUACGAGAGGAACUACGAAUGGGUGCCACUGGUGUACCGGUUGUCCGAGAGGGCAGAUGCCGGGCAGCUACGCACCACGGGGUAAGAGCUGAACGCAUCUAAGCUCGAAACCCACACGGAAAAGAAGUUCCACUGAGGACACUCGUAGAAGACGAGUUCGAUAGACUCGGGGUGUACGCAACGAGGCAACGAGUUGUUAAGCCCGCGAGCACUAACAGUCCAAGCCACAUUCAUA
rnacentral:rRNA from 2 species